rnacentral:rRNA from 1 species
AACGUAGGUACCGAGCGUUAUCCGGAUUUACUGGGCGUAAAGCGCGUUCAGGCGGUCUGGCAAGUCGGGCAUGAAAUCUCUCGGCUCAACCGGGAGGGGUUGUCCGAUACUGCUGGACUUGAGGGCAGGAGAGGGUGGUGGAAUUCCGGGUGUAGUGGUGAAAUGCGUAGAGAUCCGGAGGAACACCAGUGGCGAAGGCGGCCACCUGGCCUGCACCUGACACUGAAACGCGAAAGCUAGGGGAGCGAACGGG